rnacentral:lncRNA from 1 species
UUUUCCCUUACUAUUAAUACUAGUUUGGAAGGUGGGAAGACUGAGGCAGAAUCUGCACAGUGCUGAUUCUGUUUGGCUCUUGGAGCUCUCAGCCCGUGAUGGUGCCUGGUUUUGGUGGCUUUGGUAGAAACACGAACUGAGUGGCACUUUUUUUUUCCCUAUUUUUUGUAGUCUGUAAAUAUGCUCCAUUGGCUUCAAGUUUCAGGAGUGGUUAUUGUUGCUUUCUUCCUUAUCUUUUGUCUCUGUUUAUUCUUUUAUUAUGCAUACGAGUUCAUAUUCUGGUAAUUUGUCGAUGGGUAGCAAUGUGUAUGGAUGGGGCCGUAGAUAUUAUUUUGACUAUAAAAUUAAAUUUAUAGUAAGAUUUAAUAAAUUUUUAAUAUUUAGUAUUUAU